GAUGAACGCUGGCGGCGUGCCUAAUACAUGCGAGUCGAGCGAACAGACGAGGAGCUUGCUCCUCUGACGUUAGCGGCGGACGGGUGAGUAACACGUGGAUAACCUACCUAUAAGACUGGGAUAACUUCGGGAAACCGGAGCUAAUACCGGAUAAUAUAUUGAACCGCAUGGUUCAAUAGUGAAAGACGGUUUUGCUGUCACUUAUAGAUGGACCCGCGCCGCAUUAGCUAGUUGGUAAGGUAACGGCUUACCAAGGCAACGAUGCGUAGCCGACCUGAGAGGGUGAUCCGCCACACUGGAUCUGAGACACGUUCCAGACUCCUACGGGGGGCAGCAGUAGGGAAUCUUCCGCAAUGGGCGAAAGCCUGACGGAGCAACGCCGCGUGAGUGAUGAAGGUCUUCGGAUCGUAAAACUCUGUUAUUAGGAAAGAACAAAUGUGUAAGUAACUAUGCACGUCUUGACGGUACCUAAUCAGAAAGCCACGGCUAACUACGUG
rnacentral:rRNA from 1 species